AGAGUUUGAUCCUGGCUCAGAUUGAACGCUGGCGGCGUGCUUAACACAUGCAAGUCGAGCGGUAACAGGUGUAGCAAUACAUGCUGACGAGCGGCGAACGGGUGAGUAAUGCUUCGGAAUCUACCUUGUAGUGGGGAAUAACCUGGGGAAACUCAGGCUAAUACCGCAUACGUCUUUCGAGAGAAAGCGGGGGAUCGCAAGACCUCGCGCUACAAGAUGAGCCGAAGUCGGAUUAGCUAGUUGGUAGGGUAACGGCCUACCAAGGCGACAAUCCGUAGCUGGUCUGAGAGGACGACCAGCCACACUGGGACUGAGGCACGGCCCAGACUCCUACGGGAGGCAGCAGUGGGGAAUAUUGGACAAUGGGGGAAACCUUGAUCCAGCGACGCCGCGUGUGUGAAGAAGGCCUGCGGGUUGUAAAGCACUUUUAGUGGGGAUGAAACGCUCAGACCUAACACGUCUGGGAAUUGACCUAACCCAAAGAAAAAGCACCGGCUAACUCUGUGCCAGCAGCCGCGGUAAUACAGAGGGUGCAAGCGUUAAUCGGAAUUACUGGGCGUAAAGCGUGCGUAGUCGGUUAUCUAAGUCGGGUGUGAAAUCCCCGGGCUCAACCUGGGAAUUGCAUUCGAUACUGGAUAGCUAGAGUUCGGCAGAGGGAAGUGGAAUUUCCGGUGUAGCGGUGAAAUGCGUAGAUAUCGGAAGGAACAUCAGUGGCGAAAGCGACUUCCUGGACCAGAACUGACGAUCAGGCACGAAAGCGUGGGGAGCAAACAGGAUUAGAUACCCUGUAGUCCACGCCAUAAACGAUGACAACUAGACGUUGGGGGGGUAAGCCUCUCAGUGUCGCAGCUAACGCGUUAAGUUGUCCGCCUGGGGAGUACGGCCGCAAGGUUGAAACUCAAAGGAAUUGACGGGGACCCGCACAAGCGGUGGAGCAUGUGGUUUAAUUCGAUGCAACGCGAAGAACCUUACCUGGCCUU
rnacentral:rRNA from 1 species